GAUCCUGGCUCAGGAUGAACGCUAGCGACAGGCUUAACACAUGCAAGUCGAGGGGCAGCAUGAGGUAGCAAUACCUUGAUGGCGACCGGCGCACGGGUGAGUAACGCGUAUGCAACCUGCCCGAUACCGGGGUAUAGCCCAUGGAAACGUGGAUUAACACCCCAUAGUACUUUUAUCCUGCAUGGGAUGUGAGUUAAAUGUUCAAGGUAUCGGAUGGGCAUGCGUUCCAUUAG
rnacentral:rRNA from 1 species